rnacentral:rRNA from 1 species
GAUGAACGCUGGCGGCGUGCCUAAUACAUGCAAGUCGAGCGAACGGACGAGAAGCUUGCUUCUCUGAUGUUAGCGGCGGACGGGUGAGUAACACGUGGAUAACCUACCUAUAAGACUGGGAUAACUUCGGGAAACCGGAGCUAAUACCGGAUAAUAUUUUGAACCGCAUGGUUCAAAAGUGAAAGACGGUCUUGCUGUCACUUAUAGAUGGAUCCGCGCUGCAUUAGCUAGUUGGUAAGGUAACGGCUUACCAAGGCAACGAUGCAUAGCCGACCUGAGAGGGUGAUCAGCCACACUGGAACUGAGACACGGUCCAGACUCCUACGGGAGGCAGCAGUAGGGAAUCUUCCGCAAUGGGCGAAAGCCUGACGCAGCAACGCCGCGUGAGUGAAGAAGGUCUUCGGAUCGUAAAACUCUGUUAGUAGGGAAGAACAUAUGUGUGAGUAUAUGUGCACAUCUUGACGGUACCUAAUGAGAAAGCCACGGCUAACUACGUG